UUACGCAGGGAUAAAAACGCAACGUGCUUUCUGCACCAGAGCCGGUAGGUAGCCCGGCCGUCUGAGUUCACUCAGGUAAGUAACCCUCCCCUCCGGGUCGUCCGUUCCCUGAAAUAUAUUU
rfam:Ruminococcus sp. CAG:563 genomic scaffold, scf95